GCCGAGGUGGCGAAACUGGUAGACGCGCAGCGUUCAGGUCGCUGUCCCGUUUAACGGGGUGAGAGUUCGAAUCUCUCCCUCGGCA
rnacentral:tRNA from 1 species